rnacentral:rRNA from 1 species
CCUACGGGAGGCAGCAGUGAGGAAUAUUGGUCAAUGGACGGAAGUCUGAACCAGCCAUGCCGCGUGCGGGAAGACGGCUCUAUGGGUUGUAAACUGCUUUUGUACGAGGGUAAACCUUAAUGCGUGUAUUCAGCUGCGAGUACUUUACGAAUAAGGAUCGGCUAACUCCGUGCCAGCAGCCGCGGUAAUACGGAGGAUCCAAGCGUUAUCCGGAUUUAUUGGGUUUAAAGGGUGCGUAGGCGGAUUGAUAAGUUAGAGGUGAAAUGUCCGGGCUUAACCCGGGAACUGCAUAUAAUACUGUUGGACUAGAGAGUAGAUGAGGUAGGCGGAAUGUAUGGUGUAGCGGUGAAAUGCUUAGAGAUCAUACAGAACACCGAUGGCGAAGGCAGGUUACCAAACAAUAUCUGACGCUGAGGCACGAAAGCGUGGGGAGCAAACAGGAUUAGAUACCCUUGUAGUC